rnacentral:rRNA from 1 species
AAGAGACAGCAGUAGCCGCGGGAAUACGAAGGGUGCAAGCGUUACUCGGAAUUACUGGGCGUAAAGCGUGCGUAGGCGGUUUGGCAAGUCUAAUGUGAAAUCUUCGGGCUCAACUCGAAGUCUGCAUCGAAAACUGCCGGGCUUGAGUAUGGGAGAGGUGAGUGGAAUUUCCGGUGUAGCGGUGAAAUGCGUAGAUAUCGGAAGGAACACCUGUGGCGAAAGCGGCUCACUGGACCAUAACUGACGCUGAUGCACGAAAGCUAGGGGAGCAAACAGGAUUAGAUACCCCUGUAGUCCCUGUCUCUUAUAC